GACGAACGCUGGCGGCGUGCUUAACACAUGCAAGUCGAACGGAAAGGCCCUGCUUUUGUGGGGUGCUCGAGUGGCGAACGGGUGAGUAACACGUGAGUAACCUUCCCUUUACUUUGGGAUAACUUCAGGAAACUGGGGCUAAUACCGGAUAGGAGCUCCUGCUGCAUGGUGGUGGUUGGAAAGUUUCGGCGGUUGGGGAUGGACUCGCGGCUUAUCAGCUUGUUGGUGGGGUAGUGGCUUACCAAGGCUUUGACGGGUAGCCGGCCUGAGAGGGUGACCGGCAAAAUGGGGACGGAGAUACGGCCAAGACUCAUAGGGGAGGAAGAAGGGGGGAAUAUGGCAAAAUGGGCGGAAGCCUGAUGCAGCAACGCCGCGGGCGGGAUGACGGCCUUCGGGUUGUAAACCGCUUUCGCCGGUGACGAAGCGUGAGUGACGGUAAUGGGUAAAGAAGCACCGGCUAACUACGUG
rnacentral:rRNA from 1 species